UACAGAGACUGCAAGCGUUAUUCGGAUUCACUGGGCGUAAAGGGUGCGCAGGCGGUUGGGUGUGUCAGAUGUGAAAUCCCGAGGCUUAACCUCGGAACUGCGUCUGAAACUACUCGACUAGAGUACUGGAGAGGGAAACGGAAUUCACGGUGUAGCAGUGAAAUGCGUAGAUAUCGUGAGGAACACCAGAGGCGAAGGCGGUUUCCUGGACAGUUACUGACGCUCAGGCACGAAAGCAUGGGGAGCAAAA
rnacentral:rRNA from 1 species